GCGCUACAGAGAAGUGAAAGACACGGCCUUUUGAAGUAGCCUCUCGUGAGAUUGGACACUACCAAUGGCGACCAUAAAGAAGUUCCUGCUGCUUACAGUGCUACUGGUCGUAGGAGCCGGUGCCGAUCACACGGCUCAGAAUCAUCCGGGACGUUGCCAAAAUGCGCCGGAUAUCGACUGGACUGGGAGCAUCAAUGAAUAUUUGCGGAAGAUACCAGACUCGCUUACCAUUCCUGGUCCUACCAGGGACGUGUUCCCCGGAAUGACGUUGUCUGGACCUGCGCUGAGGGGCCUUGGAAAUAUGUGGGCUUACAAACCAUACCACACAUUUUGUGAGAGAAACAGCACUAUUAUUGAGGUUCCCAUAUCAGUUGACCAACAGCUGCACCUCACAUGGGACUGGGACAG